rnacentral:pre_miRNA from 1 species
AUAAUACUCCCUUCAUCCGGAAUUACUUGUCAUCAAAAUGGAUGUGUCUAGAACUAAAAUACAUCUAGAUACAUCCAUUUCAAUGACAAGUAUUUUCGGACGGAGGGAGUAGUAG